rnacentral:rRNA from 4 species
CGACUCUCGGCAACGGAUAUCUUGGCUCUCGCAUCGAUGAAGAACGCAGCGAAAUGCGAUACUUGGUGUGAAUUGCAGAAUCCCGUGAACCAUCGAGUCUUUGAACGCAAGUUGCGCCCGAGGCUAUCCGGCCGAGGGCACGC